rnacentral:rRNA from 1 species
AACGCGAAGAACCUUACCUGGGCUCGAACGACUGGUGGUAGCUUGGAUGAAAAUCUAGGCGACCCGCAAGGGAGCCAGCCGAGGUGCUGCAUGGUUGUCGUCAGCUCGUGUCGUGAGAUGUUGGGUUAAGUCCCGCAACGAGCGCAACCCCUGUCCUGUGUUGCUACCCGCAAGGGAGGACUCUCAGGAGACUGCCGCGGAUAACGUGGAGGAAGGUGGGGAUGACGUCAAAUCAUCAUGGCCUUUAUGUCCAGGGCUACACACGUGCUACAAUGGCGUAAACAGAGGGAAGCAAGACCGCAAGGUGGAGCAAAUCCCUAAAAUACGCCUCAGUUCGGAUCGUGGGCUGAAAUUCGCCCACGUGAAGGUGGAAUCGCUAGUAAUCGCAGAUCAGCAGGCUGCGGUGAAUACGUUCCCGGGCCUUGUACACACCGAGACGUA